AUUGAACGCUGGCGGCAGGCCUAACACAUGCAAGUCGAGCGGAUGAAGGGAGCUUGCUCCUGGAUUCAGCGGCGGACGGGUGAGUAAUGCCUAGGAAUCUGCCUGGUAGUGGGGGAUAACGUCCGGAAACGGGUGCUAAUACCGCAUACGUCCUGAGGGAGAAAGUGGGGGAUCUUCGGACCUCACGCUAUCAGAUGAGCCUAGGUCGGAUUAGCUAGUUGGUGGGGUAAAGGCCUACCAAGGCGACGAUCCGUAACUGGUCUGAGAGGAUGAUCAGUCACACUGGAACUGAGACACGGUCCAGACUCCUACGGGAGGCAGCAGUGGGGAAUAUUGGACAAAGGGCGAAAGCCUGAUCCAGCCAUGCCGCGUGUGUGAAGAAGGUCUUCGGAUUGUAAAGCACUUUAAGUUGGGAGGAAGGGCAGUAAGUUAAUACCUUGCUGUUUUGACGUUACCAACAGAAUAAGCACCGGCUAACUUCGUG
rnacentral:rRNA from 1 species